CCUACGGGUGACAGCAGUGAGGAAUAUUGGUCAAUGGCCGGAAGGCUGAACCAGCCAUGCCGCGUGAAGGUCAGUGCCCUAUGGGCGUUAAACUUCUUUUGUGCGGGAGCAAUAAUGGUCACGUGUGGCCAGACGAGAGUACCGUACGAAUAAGCAUCGGCUAACUCCGUGCCAGCAGCCGCGGUAAUACGGGGGAUGCAAGCGUUAUCCGGAUUUAUUGGGUUUAAGGGGUGCGUAGGCUGUGAGGUAAGUCAGCGGUGAAAUGCCCCCGCUCAACGGGGUGAAGUGCCAUUGAUACUGCCUGGCUGGAAUGCGGAUGCCGUGGGAGGAAUGUGUGGUGUAGCGGUGAAAUGCAUAGAUAUCACACAGAACACCGAUUGCGAAGGCAUCUCACGAAUCCGCGAUUGACGCUGAUGCACGAAAGCGUGGGUAUCAAACAGGAUUAGAUACCCCAGUAGUC
rnacentral:rRNA from 1 species